AUUGAACGCUGGCGGCAGGCCUAACACAUGCCAGUCGAGCGGAUGAAGGAGGCUUGCUCCUGGCUUAAGCUACCGACGGACGGGUAAUUAACAGGAAUAUGACCGGUCGAGGGGGAUAACGUCCGGUCACGGGCCCUAAUACCACAUCCGAUCUUAUGGAGAACCGGGGGGUUCAUCAGACCUAACGGUUUUAGCUGACCCUGGGUCGGAUUAGCUAGUUGGUGGGGUAAAGGCCUACCAAGGCGACGAACCGUAGCUGAUCUGAGAGGCUGAUCAGUCACACUGGAACUGAGACACGGUCCAGACUCCUACGGGAGGCAGCAGUGGGGAAUAUUGGACAAUGGGCGAAAGCCUGAUCCAGCCAUGCCGCGUGUGUGAAGAAGGUCUUCGGAUUGUAAAGCACUUUAAGUUGGGAGGAAGAGCAGUGAGUGUAUACCUUGCUGUUUUGACGUUACCAACAGAAUAAGCACCGGCUAACUUCGUG
rnacentral:rRNA from 1 species